UUUUUAUUUUUUACUGUAAAUUAUUAGCAUUUUCUUUCAAUUUUUUUCUGGAGAAAAGGUUACCUUGCCAAUCAACUACCAAUGGAACAAUGGCUAACAUUGGAGUUUGUGCAUAAGUAUGUGUCAGAACUAUGCAUGGAUUAAGGAAGAAAGGAGACAAUAGGAGAAUGGAACAAAGGUUGUCCUGGGAAAUAAUAAUAAAUUAUUUUCCAAAAGAAGAGUGAAAUAUGGAACACAUGAGAUAAGUUAUAUUUGGUUGAUGAAGUUAUUCUGAAAAAACGCUAUUUGGAAAGGUGAACUUCUGAAACUACAAUAACAUUUCAUCUAUUCCCAGGAAGAAAUAUUCCUAAGGUGAAGAAACUGUGCAACAUGCCCAGAUCAUACAACAAGGAAGUAAUGGAAUUGAGAUUCUAUCCUGGGCGCCAAGCCAUUGCUCUAAAUCUCUAUGCUGCACAAGAUACAGCUGAGUAAAGAUUAGUAACAACAAAAAAAAACAACAAAAAAAGACAAGUCCCAGGGAAGGUUCCUGUGAGUCUUUAUGAUCCACUGGCCAUAAAUUAGAGAGAGGCAAUGAAGACUAAAUGCGGAGAGAUCCAGUUUGCUUCCUAGUCUUAGUACAUUGCCAUCUAGGCAUGAGUAGUCUCCUUGUCUCCGUUGUCUGAGAAUGCUAUCCUCUGGCUCUGAGGUCCAGAGCCACUAAGAGAGAAUGCUGACUUGAUGUCAGAAAAUCAAGACAAGGUCUAGUUUAAUUAUGGAACAUGAAACAAAAACUUUACUCCUCUUUUGAAGUAAAAAUGCAAAUCUGUUCCGUUUUAGAGUGGGAUUUCCCUCCUUUGUUAUAUGGCUUUUAAAUUACUCAUGUUCUUUACAAAUCAAAUAAAUAAAAGAUAAAAAGAAAAAUAAAUA
rnacentral:lncRNA from 1 species